rnacentral:rRNA from 1 species
AGAGUUUGAUCCUGGCUCAGGACGAACGCUGGCGGCGUGCUUAACACAUGCAAGUCGAACGGAAAGGCCCUUCGGGGUACUCGAGUGGCGAACGGGUGAGUAACACGUGGGUGAUCUGCCCUGCACUCUGGGAUAAGCCUGGGAAACUGGGUCUAAUACCGGAUAGGACCGCAUGCUUCAUGGUGUGUGGUGCAAAGCUUUUGCGGUGUGGGAUGAGCCCGCGGCCUAUCAGCUUGUUGGCGGGGUAAUGGCCUACCAAGGCGACGACGGGUAGCCGGCCUGAGAGGGUGACCGGCCACACUGGGACUGAGAUACGGCCCAGACUCCUACGGGAGGCAGCAGUGGGGAAUAUUGCACAAUGGGCGCAAGCCUGAUGCAGCGACGCCGCGUGAGGGAUGACGGCCUUCGGGUUGUAAACCUCUUUCAGUAGGGACGAAGCGAAAGUGACGGUACCUACAGAAGAAGGACCGGCCAACUACGUGCCAGCAGCCGCGGUAAUACGUAGGGUCCGAGCGUUGUCCGGAAUUACUGGGCGUAAAGAGCUCGUAGGUGGUUUGUCGCGUUGUUCGUGAAAACUCACAGCUUAACUGUGGGCGUGCGGGCGAUACGGGCAGACUAGAGUACUGCAGGGGAGACUGGAAUUCCUGGUGUAGCGGUGGAAUGCGCAGAUAUCAGGAGGAACACCGGUGGCGAAGGCGGGUCUCUGGGCAGUAACUGACGCUGAGGAGCGAAAGCGUGGGUAGCGAACAGGAUUAGAUACCCUGGUAGUCCAA